UGCUGAAAAGUAACGUGAAUUUAGCCAACCGAGUCCGUGUACGCUAUAUCAGAUUUUUUCAAAAAACUAAGUCCUAGAUAAAAGUGUUGUUGGAAGGCUUUCUUUUACAAGAAGUUUACACAAUUUUCUGGCAGAUCGCGUUGAACAGUUUUAUCAUACGAAUUUUGUCGCUAAGUGCACUUUCGAAGUAAAAUGUAAAAGUUGAUGUUUCCUUAAGAACGUGGAUAAAGAAUGGAGCCAGAUUUUGUUCGUCGCCUCGGGACAGUUGGUUGCGGUAGUCUCGUGAAGUGCCUGAAAUGGCAAUAAAUGAGGGUAGCGAUCGGUGUUAUCGGGGCAAUAAAAUAGCCUCAACAAGUAAUGGCACCCAACACCUACUAACUUGCUGGUACGUCAGGGGCAAUUUUUCUCGACUAGCUCGUUGUAAAACAAGGAGGAAAAAGAGGAAUUACGUUUCCCGGAAUAAAUAAAUGCUGUUUUCCCUGAAGAUUAAACAGAGGUCUUGUCAAAAUUGCAAGAUUGUUGUUAAGAAUUACUGGUCCUGCAAUCUGCAG